GACAGAGGGGGCAAGCGUUGCUCGGAAUUACUGGGCGUAAAGGGCGCGUAGGCGGGAUGGCAAGUCAGUCGUGAAAUCUCUCGGCUCAACCGAGAAACGUCGGCUGAUACUGCCGUUCUUGAGGGAUGCAGAGGAGACUGGAAUUCCCGGUGUAGCGGUGAAAUGUGUAGAGAUCGGGAGGAACACCGGUGGCGAAGGCGGGUCUCUGGGCAUUUCCUGACGCUGAGGCGCGAAAGCGUGGGGAGCAAAUGGG
rnacentral:rRNA from 1 species